AUCGUUGAAUGAUUUCCACUAUAGUAUAAAAGAUUGGAAUACAAGGACAAAAUGCAUUGACUUUGAAGUGAUCAAUACUCUAUUGAUUACACACCUCAGCUCUCAAGAACCGAUCGGAGUCGACGUCACAUGUACACCCUCUCUCGUCCUUCCAUUUCCACACCAAACACCAUGAGGAUUCAAAUUUCAUGUUUGAAAACCGAUUCGCAUGUAGCAAAAAAUGGAUAGAUAUGUUCCCUGUUUUAAAAUAUGAGACGUAAUUUGUUUAGUUAGAACAAAUGUUUGACAAAUACAUCACUCUAUAUUAAAAUGCAACUUCUACGGCACAAGAUUUAUGCUAUUAGAUU
rnacentral:lncRNA from 1 species